rnacentral:rRNA from 1 species
CACGUAGGGCGCAAGCGUUGUCCGGAAUUAUUGGGCGUAAAGAGCUCGUAGGCGGUCCGUCACGUCCGCUGUGAAAACCCAGGGCUCAACCCUGGGCUUGCAGUGGAUACGGGCAGACUAGAGGUAUGCAGGGGAGAACGGAAUUCCUGGUGUAGCGGUGAAAUGCGCAGAUAUCAGGAGGAACACCUAUGGCGAAGGCAGCUCGCUGGGACGUUACUGACGCUGAGACGCGAAAGCGUGGGGAGCAAACAGG